rnacentral:rRNA from 1 species
UACGGAGGGUGCGAGCGUUGUCCGGAAUCACUGGGCGUAAAGGGCGCGUAGGCGGCCUGCUAAGUCGAACGUGAAAUCCCUGGGCUCAACCCAGGAACUGCGUCCGAUACUGGUUGGCUUGAAUCCGGGAGAGGGAUGUGGAAUUCCAGGUGUAGCGGUGAAAUGCGUAGAUAUCGGGAGGAACACCAAUGGCGAAGGCAGCUCGCUGGGACGGUACUGACGCUGAGACGCGAAAGCGUGGGGAGCAAACAGG